rnacentral:lncRNA from 1 species
CAUCCAUGUGACUCUGUGCGUUUUCUCCGUGUUCCUUCCCUUCAGGUCUCUCGCAUGCCUCUUUCGCAGGAAUGGAACGUGAUUUUCUUCAACGGCAUCUGGGAGAGGAUGCUGCAGAUGCCUGAUGCGACUAGCCCCCCUAUUUUGUCCCAAUGGCUCAAGAGACUUCAGCCAUUUGUGGUCAACCCAAAGGUCUUCACUUGUCUUCAUGCCAAAAAUACAUCAUGUGGAACACUUCACAAGAUAGUUGCUGCCCUGAAUGGCAUCUAUUCUAACCUCACAGUGGAAGACCAGAGGAAUAUUUACAAAGGGCUCAAAUAUUAUCUCACGGGGGACGGAUCGAAACAGAAUUGCUACAAUGCAGCUCUUCCAAGCCUGAGUUCCACCGCUUGGUUUGCUAAUUAUUUGGGUUCCUUUAUGGAGCAUGCAUUAGUGGGAGACCUGCAGCUCUUUGCUGAUGAGCCAACUCUUCAGAAAUUUGCCCGAGAUCCAGUCAACUUACAACUGAUCAGUAACCUCAGUUUACCCAGGGAGACGGCUGUGUAUUACACCUCAUUCCUUACCUCUGCACCUGGCUUCCAACUA